GUUGGUUACGCUGCGUUUUGUCACUAUGAAAAGCAAACGCAGUUGUUAUCGGGACGCGCGUUUCAAGUAGUCGCGCUCCCACCUGAUGUUUUCCUUGGCAUCCUCCUUUGCGAGAAGUACACGUUUCACUUCGAUCGAAGCUGUCGCAGUAGGUUUCGUGCGGAAGAAACCCUAAGCAGCCAAAUCUCACGAUGAAUCCCCAUGAUCGUAGAUUCGCCGAUCCGAACUCGUAUCGCAAGCGGUCUGGCGACUCACUGGGUCCGUCUCUUCCGAUCAUGGGCUCCGCGUCAUACGGUCGCGGCGGACCUUUUUGGCACGGAGGCGGUGGAGGGGAAGGUUCCGCCGUCGGUGGCUACUCAACUUUUCAGCCGCCGACUGGUGGCUUCGCCAUCGGCCACGGCGGCGGAAGGAUCGCCCAUGGUCAUUACGGCGAUAGAAGGGGCGCUGGUGGCGGUGGUGGGGGAUGGGGAAGACGUGGUGGAUCGAAUCACGGAGAGCUGGAUAACGUUUCUCUUCCCAGGCAGAAUUUUGGGAAUCUCGUCCCUUUCGAGAAGAAUUUUUAUGUCGAGUGCCCAUCUGUGCAGGCGAUGACAGAGCAGGAUGUUGCAAUGUACAGAAGCAGCCGUGAUAUAUCUGUUGAAGGGCGCGAUGUUCCUAAGCCUAUCAGAAUGUUCCAAGAGGCUAAUUUUCCAGAUCAUAUCCUUGAAGUGAUUGCGAGAUUGGGCUUCACUGAGCCGACACCGAUACAAGCUCAAGGAUGGCCGAUGGCAUUAAAGGGUAGAGAUUUAAUCGGUAUUGCUGAGACCGGGUCUGGUAAGACUCUGGCUUACUUGUUACCAGCUCUGGUACAUGUAAGUGCACAGCCAAGAUUGGCUCAAGAUGAUGGUCCAAUAGUAUUGGCGUUAGCUCCUACAAGAGAAUUGGCUGUUCAAAUCCAAGAGGAAUCAAAAAAAUUUGGGCUCCGGUCUGGUGUCAGAAGUACUUGUAUCUAUGGUGGUGCUCCUAAAGGUCCUCAGAUUCGGGAUCUUAGAAGAGGUGUUGAAAUUGUCAUUGCCACCCCUGGUCGUUUGAUUGAUAUGUUGGAAGCCCGACAUACAAAUUUGAGGAGAGUGACCUACCUUGUCUUGGACGAGGCUGAUAGGAUGUUAGAUAUGGGGUUUGAGCCUCAAAUAAGAAAGAUCAUUUCUCAGAUCCGACCUGAUAGGCAGACAUUGCUUUGGAGUGCGACAUGGCCACGGGAGGUUGAAUCUCUGGCCAGGCAAUUUCUACGAGAUCCAUAUAAGGUCAUUAUUGGAUCGGCGGACCUUAAAGCUAAUCAGUCUAUUAACCAAAUUAUCGAGAUUGUACCUGCAUCAGAGAAGUACAUCAGGCUCAUUAAACUGCUUAAACAGUUAAUGGAUGGGAGUAAAAUAUUAAUUUUCGUGGAGACAAAGAAAGGGUGUGAUCAGGUCACUAAGCAACUGAGAAUGGAUGGAUGGCCAGCUCUGGCCAUACAUGGUGAUAAGACCCAGUCAGAAAGAGAUCGGGUCUUGUCUGAAUUUAAGAGCGGCAGGAGCCCUAUAAUGACUGCUACCGAUGUUGCUGCAAGGGGUCUUGGUAGGAUAACUGUAUGCUAGGAGGUCUAGACUAUUCAUUUCUGGGGUCAAACGAGUCGCCUGGCUGCUUUCCUUGAUUUCCUAUGGUUUAGAAAAGAUACAAACUUGUGAAUGUGGUCCGAUUAUGGCUGUUUUUUAUUUACGUGACUAGCUGGGUUAGGGCUGUUUUAAAGGGUGAAGGGUAUAUUGCUAUUUCUUAGAAGUUUCCUUUCUAGUAGUUGGAGCUGCAGCUUCGUGUGACAUGGACACCGGGACAGCAGUUUGUGAAAAGUGCUGCGGUAUCAGUCUGGAGAUUAUGCCUUGUUUCUUGGUUUCUGUUGUGAAAGGCCGUCUAUGUCACAAGUGUCUUAAGUAGGGAGGUUGAAGCGGUUUUGUUCCGGACCCAUCUCUCUGGUCAUGGAGCCUGGUUGGUUUUUUCUGGGCAGCCUGGUUGACUCGUCAGCAUGCAUAUAUAGUGGGGUAUGGCUGCUCCUUAUCCCUGCAAAAGUUAAGAUGUGAAGGACAUAAAGUGUGUGAUAAACUAUGAUUUUCCGACAAGCCUUGAGGAUUACAUACACAGGAUAGGAAGAACCGGACGUGCGGGAGCAAAGGGAAUGGCUUUCACCUUCUUCACGCAUGACAAUGCAAGG